rnacentral:rRNA from 1 species
GAUGAACGCUGGCGGCGUGCCUAACACAUGCAAGUCGAACGGACAGACCCUGAGCUUGUUCCGUUCACGUUAGCGGCAGGCGGGUGAGUAACGCGUGGAUCACCUACUUAUAUUUCGGGGAUAAUUACGGGAAACCGGCUCUAAUACCGGAUGAUAUAUUGAACCGCGGUGUGCAAUGGUAAAAUUCGGUUUUGGUGGCUGGUAUAGAGGGUUCCGGGCUGCUUUAGCUAGUUGGUAGGGUCACGGCUUACCAAGGCAACGAUGCGUAACCGACCGGAGAGGGUGAUCGGCCACAUGAGAACUGGGACACGGUCCAGACUACUAAGGUAGGCAGCAGUAGGGAAUGGGCGGCAAUGGGCGAAAGCCUGACGCAGCAAGACCGCGUGAGUGAUGAAGGUCUUCGGAUCGUAAAACCCUGUUAUUAGGGAAGAACAGCUGUGUAAGAAGACAUGGACGUCUUGACGGUACCUAAUCAAAAAGCACCGGCUAACUACGUG